rnacentral:lncRNA from 1 species
UUUUUUUCUUUUUUUCUUUUUUUUUUUAACUUUAAAUACCAUUCACCUCAUUUCGCUUUUUUUUUUUAUUUUAAGAUUCUAUAAUUCAAAGUGUAUUAUUUUUGGACUCUAUAAUUUUAUUUUAUUUUUAUUAUUCUAUUUGUUAUUUUUUUUAUUAAAUAAGUGAUGAUAAAGUUAAAACUAAAAUAUACUAAAAUGAAUAUUCGGUAAACUAUAGGCAAGAUAUAUAUUUCAAGUUUUUUAUAUAUAAUUUAAUAAAAAAAGUUAACAAAAUAACUAACGAAAAUAGAAAAAUAAAAACACUGGAUACUAAAUUGAUAUACUUUAAACUACAUAAUACUAAAAUGAGAAAGUGCAAAACCAUAGAAGUGAUAUUUGAAGUUUUUUUUUUCUUCCUAUUUUUUCUAUUUUCUUACAUUA